rnacentral:ncRNA from 1 species
CUCUGGUUCAGCAAAUGAUCCAGGGCAGAAAGAG